GAAUUUUAUAAAAUUAUUUAUAAAAUUUUAAAGUUAAAAUAUAAAUAAUUAUUAUUUAAUUGGGAGGAUUUUUAAAUUUAGAAAACUUUAAAUAAAAAUUUAAAUAUAAAUUAAUAAGUAAAUUUUUUUAGAAUGAUUAAAAAAUUAAAAAAUAAUUAAUUACCUUAGGGAUAACAGCGUAAUAUUUUUAAUAAGAUCUUAUUAAUAAAAAUGAUUGC
rnacentral:rRNA from 1 species